rnacentral:rRNA from 1 species
UCCAGGGUGUAAACGCUGCAGACUUGGUGUCGGAGGUCCUACGAGGGCGUCCGGUGCCGGAGAGAAAUUGUUAAGUCUGCCGCUUGGGGAGUACGUCCGCAAGGAUGAAACUUAAAGGAAUUGGCGGGAGAGCACCGCAACGGGAGGAGCGUGCGGUUCAAUUGGAUUCAACGCCGGAAAACUCACCGGGGGCGACGGUUACAUGAAGGCCAAGCUGAUGACUUUGCCUGAUUU